rnacentral:rRNA from 1 species
UACGUAGGGUGCAAGCGUUGUCCGGAAUCAUUGGGCGUAAAGCGCGUGUAGGCGGCCCGGUAAGUCCGCUGUGAAAGUCGGGGGCUCAACCCUCGAAUGCCGGUGGAUACUGUCGGGCUAGAGUGCGGAAGAGGCGAGUGGAAUUCCUGGUGUAGCGGUGAAAUGCGCAGAUAUCAGGAGGAACACCAAUUGCGAAGGCAGCUCGCUGGGACGUGACUGACGCUGAGACGCGAAAGCGUGGGGAGCAAACAGG